GCGGACGGCUCAGUAACACGUAGUCAACCUAACUCGUGGACGUGGAUAACCUCGGGAAACUGAGAAUAAACCACGAUAGAUCAUAGUGCCUGGAAUGGCUUAUGGUCCAAACAGUUUACUGCCAUGGGAUGGGACUGCGGCCUAUCAGCUUGUUGGUGAGGUAAUGGCCCACCAAGGCGAUUACAGGUACGGGCUCUGAGAGGAGAAGCCCGGAGAUGGGUACUGAGACACGGACCCAGGCCCUAUGGGGCGCAGCAGGCGAGAAACCUUAGCAAUGUGCGAAAGCACGACUGGGUCAGUCCGAGUGAUUCCUGAUAAAGGAGUCUUUUGCUUGUCCUAAAAGCACAGGUGAAUAAGGGGUGGGCAAGUCUGGUGUCAGCCGCCGCGGUAAUACCAGCACCUCGAGUGGUCAGGACGUUUAUUGGGCCUAAAGCAUCCGUAGCCGGCUUUGCAAGUCUUCGGUUAAAUCCACCUGCUCAACAGAUGGGCCGCUGGAGAUACUACAGAGCUAGGGAGUGGGAGAGGCAGACGGUAUUCAGUGGGUAGGGGUAAAAUCCUCUGAUCCAUUGAGGACCACCAGUGGCGAAGGCGGUCUGCCAGAACACGUUCGACGGUGAGGGAUGAAAGCUGUGGGAGCAAACCGGAUUAGAUACCCGGGUAGUCCCAGCUGUAAACGAUGCAAACUCGGUGAUGCAUUGGCUUAUGGCCA
rnacentral:rRNA from 1 species